CAGAAGCUCCUUAUCCUCUCCCCUGUCCUGGGAAUGUACCUCUGACGUACUAUUCCCAGAGCCAUAACCAUUUCAAGGAGGCAGCCUUGAGAGAUUAAUUAAUGUGUUGUCAGGAACAUCUGCACGGUGUAUGUACCUAAACCCCGUUUACAAACUUUUAAGAUGCUGGUGGGUGAAUGUGGAGAUGUACUCAUCUUGUGGAUCACCCAAGAUAAACCUCAUAUAAGUGGAGCUGUGAACAUUAGACGGCACCUGUACUACUGGUAUAUUGAGUUCUACUUCAUGAUGCCCACACCUAUUGGCCUGAGACUUCGUUUAUACAGUCAAAGUUCUGACAACAUUCUUGGAUACCUGGCAAGAAUAUCUGAAGAGUCCCUCUUUUUGUGGUAAGCACAUACGCAUUUGCUCAGAUAUUCUUCUGGUCAAAUAAACAACUCAUCUAUU